UACGAGGGGAGCAAGCGUUGUUCGGAUUUACUGGGCGUAAAGCGUGCGCAGGCGGUUGUGCAAGACAGAUGUGAAAUCCCCGGGCUCAACCUGGGAACUGCAUUUGUGACUGCACAGCUUGAGUGCGGCAGAGGGGGAUGGAAUUCCGCGUGUAGCAGUGAAAUGCGUAGAUAUGCGGAGGAACACCGAUGGCGAAGGCAAUCCCCUGGGCCUGCACUGACGCUCAUGCACGAAAGCGUGGGGAGCAAACAGG
rnacentral:rRNA from 1 species